rnacentral:rRNA from 1 species
GACGAACGCUGGCGGCGUGCUUAACACAUGCAAGUCGAACGGGUCUGCCCUGUUUUUUGCGGGGUGGGUCAGUGGCGAACGGGUGAGUAACACGUGAGUAACCUGCCCCUCACUUCUGGAUAACCGCUUGAAAGGGUGGCUAAUACGGGGUGUUCUGGCUGUGCCGCAUGGUGUGGCUGGGAAAGAUUCACUUUUGUGGUGUUUUGGUGGGGGAUGGGCUCGCGGCCUAUCAGCUUGUUGGUGGGGUGAUGGCCUGCCAAGGCUUUGACGGGUAGCCGGCCUGGGAGGGUGGGCGGUCACACUGGGACUGAGAUACGGCCCAGACUCCUGCGGGAGGCAGCAGGGGGGGGUAUGGCACAAUGGGCGGAAGGCUGAUGCAGCGACGUCGCGUGAGGGAUGGAGGCCUUCGGGUUGUGAACCUCUUUCGCCGGUGAAGAAGGUCCUGCUCUUUGUGGUGGGGUUGACGGUAGCCGGGUUAUGAAGCGCCGGCUAACUACGUG